rnacentral:ribozyme from 13 species
GAAGAAAAGGAAAAGAAAAGAAAACAAAACAAUAAGAUGGAUAGUAGCGAUGAAGAAGAUGAUCUUAUGUUUGGAUUGAGAGAGGACGAUGGGACUGAAUUUUCUUCUUCUUUUGGUUGGAGUGACCCUUUACCUUCUUCUUCUUCUUCUUCUGUUGUAGGUUUUGAGGGAGAAGAAGAAGAAGAACCUGGAAAGAAGAAGAAGAAAGUGAAAAAGAAGACUGGUUUUUAUCUUAUGGCGCUUUCUUCUUCUCUUCUUUAUG